GUGACGUCACGGGCCACCCGCCAGCCCCGCGCUCUACCAGGCAGAGCGCGUGUGGCCGCCGAGCACAUGGACCCACUGGUCAAGCGGGCUCGGCAAGGCCAGGAUGAAGAGAAGCUACGAACUUAGCAUUCCCAGAGCCCCCCGAGUGGAUAUCCGCGUGGAAAGGAUGUUGGCAGCCCCGGUGACCUCGGAGUCACGGCUGGAUCCACCCUCUUGUCUGAUUUUCUUAACUCUACUACGGUAAGAAGAUGCCCUCCAUCAGCAGGCCGUGUCUGCUGGGACCUCUCUGGAGACUUCCUGAACCCUGUGGAUUUACAGUAAGAUGCAGUUUCCUGGGGAGUAAUUCUGGUGGAUACAAAUUCCGGAGUAUUACACCUGGCUUGCCUGGAGAUGUUACAAGUAGCUGGAUGGAUUCUUCAGCCUGGAUGCCCACUGAAAACAAGGACCGAAACUAAGAGGAUUGUAUCUCUACCCUUGACUCAAUGAGAAUGUUUGUUGUCAUCUCUCGGGCUACCUGGAGCUCCCUCUAAAAUGGGCUGGGACACUGCCUGAUUGAGGUGGCCAUUGAGAAUUCAAGUGUACCUCUUGGUCCCUGAUGCAGAAAUGAAGUCCCCAGCAUGCUCAAGAAGAGCUUCCUUGGAGGAUGAGAGGCAUGGGAAUCUAAGUAUACCCUUUAAGCGUUCCAGAAGGAUUUUGAGAUCCUUUCCUAAAUCAAAGGUGGAAUAUUUGGGGAUUUGGAAAAUUGAG
rnacentral:lncRNA from 1 species